GAAGGAUGAGGACUCACUAUCAGAGACUUGUAGUGAGAAUAAAAUGCAUUAUUUUGACCAAGUUUUCUGAAACAAGUUUUGAAUGGAAAUUUAAGUCACUCUCCAAAAUUCCAUUCCAAAACAAAUUGGAAUUGGGGAGCCGCACAAGACAAGCACGUGGGUUGGUGAUUUUUGGAGGCAUUCUUUGUGAACGCCUACACAGAAUUCUCUGGGGACAAUCUAUCGCUGUCCGGUGAGCCGGCUCUGUCGUUUUGUUAAGGAAAGUUCAAUGUUUUGAAACUGGAUUGGGUCUUGACUCGGUCAAGGGCCCAAUCCGAUUCGUUCCCGGUCCGUUCAAUCAGUUCAGAACAUUGUUGAUAUAUAUUCUUUUUAUAAUAUUUAAAGAAAAUUAAACCAAAAAUAAAAAAAUGUAUAACUAUAUAGAA